CCUAGCGGACGCCGAGGGUUGGUUGGUGGCCGCGGACUCCGGCCGACGCGUGGCCUGGUGACUUGUGGGAGUUGUAGUCCGGGCUGCGGGAGGCGGCGGUGCGGGCGCCCAGGGAAAGACUCCAACUCCCAUCGGGCCCCUCGGGCACCGGCUGACAAGGGAGCCAAAACAACCAUGGCGGCGGCGAGCUGGCGGCGGUGCUGGUGUCAGCGCAAGCGUGGCUCCACAUCCCGGCAGUGAGCGGACUAUACUGUGGCUUCACAAUGUUUGGAGACUUAUUUGAAGAGAACUUUUCCUUUGUGUCAAAUAAUCAAUGUGGAAAAGGGAAGAAAUCAAAGUCCAAAGAUACCGAGCCUCCCGCUCCAAGGGAGUUCACCAAAUUAAGUGGUAUCAAAAAUCAGGGUGGGACCUGCUACCUCAAUUCCCUUCUCCAGACUUUGCAUUUCACGCCAGAAUUUAGAGAAGCACUGUUUUCCCUAGGCCCUGAAGAACUUGGUUCUCUGGAAGAUAUCAAUAAACCAGAUGUAAAGGUUCGAAUAAUUCCAUUACAGUUACAACGAUUAUUUGCUCAACUUUUGCUCUUAGAUCAGCAGGCUGCAUCUACAACAGACCUCACUGA